UACGUAGGGCGCAAGCGUUUGUCCGGAAUUAUUGGGCGUAAAGAGCUCGUAGGUGGUCUGUUGCGUCCGCUGUGAAAACCCAGGGCUUAACCCUGGGCUGGCAGUGGAUACGGGCAGACUAGAGGUAGGUAGGGGAGAAUGGAAUUCCCGGUGUAGCGGUGAAAUGCGCAGAUAUCGGGAGGAACACCGGUGGCGAAGGCGGUUCUCUGGGCCUUACCUGACACUGAGGAGCGAAAGCGUGGGGAGCGAACAGG
rnacentral:rRNA from 1 species